GCUAUAUGCGAAUGCGAACAAUUUUUAUUUGACGGCGGAGGGGGAGAAAUUUGAUUAGUUCAAUUUGCAACAGAUAUAACAUAAUAUGGCAUGGAUAACCUCAAGGGGCCAUCUAGAAUUUAAGGUAGUUUUAUAUCGGCAAGCGAGCACACAUUGAUCUAUAUGUAUAUAUAAUAUAUAACUUAAGGACUAAUUUAGCAAUUGGCAAAUAAAUACUGGUUAGCGGCCAACAGAGAAGUAUGGAGGUUAGCACAAAACUAUAUAGUAUUAUAUACAACUUACUUGUCAUCCGUAUCCAAAUUGCUGUUGCCAUCCAGGCUGUCGCCCAGGGUCUCA